AAUCUGGAAACCUUCACAAACUGGAAAUGACUCAUGCAAUGGGACAUCAAACCAGAUUUCCAUGACUUUUCUCUGCUGCUUUCCUUGAGUCAAAUUCAUUGUUGACCUAAGCAAACUUUAUUUUACAAGAAUGCAAAUCAAGCGAUUGAAAAUGGAAAUGUUGAUAUGAGGUCAAGGGUUCAAGAAUGAGCGAAGUCUAUUCAAAGCUUAUCAUAAAAAGACUGAAAAUACAGUGGCUCGGGAUGGAAAGAGGAGCCCACGGUGCCAUCAUGCCCUGCGCUUCAUCAGACAAGGCUGCUAUCAUUUUCAUAACUUCAGCUAGAGCAACAGAACAAGAAAAUUUGAACACAGGGAACUUCCCAGAGACUCAUACUCCAACCAAGGACUAUUCAUGGAGAUAACCUAGAACCCUGACAAUGCAG